AGAGUUUGAUCCUGGCUCAGGAUGAACGCUAGCUACAGGCUUAACACAUGCAAGUCGAGGGGUAACGACAGCGAAAGCUUGCUUUUGCUGGGCGACGACCGGCGAAUGGGUGAGUAACGCGUAUCCAACCUGCCGCAAAGUAGGGCACAGCCUUGCGAAAGUAAGAUUAAUGCCCUAUGUGCUGUGAUGAUGACAUCAGAAUUGCAGUAAAGGUUCACCGCUUUGCGAUGGGGAUGCGUCUGAUUAGGUUGUUGGCGGGGUAACGGCCCACCAAGCCCGCGAUCAGUAGGGGUUCUGAGAGGAAGGUCCCCCACAUUGGAACUGAGACACGGUCCAAACUCCUACGGGAGGCAGCAGUGAGGUAUAUUGGUCAAUGGGCGAGAGCCUGAACCAGCCAAGUAGCGUGCGGGACGAAGGCCCUAUGGGUUGUAAACCGCUUUUACGGGGGGAUAAAGUGAGUGACGUGUCAUUCAUUGCAGGUACCCCGCGAAUAAGGACCGGCUAAUUCCGUGCCAGCAGCCGCGGUAAUACGGAAGGUCCGGGCGUUAUCCGGAUUUAUUGGGUUUAAAGGGAGCACAGGCCGGCUGUCAAGCGUGUUGUGAAAUGUAGGCGCUCAACGCCUGACUUGCAGCGCGAACUGACGGUCUUGAGUGCGCGCAACGUUGGCGGAAUUUGUCGUGUAGCGGUGAAAUGCUUAGAUAUGACGAAGAACUCCGAUUGCGAAGGCAGCUGACGGGAGCGUUACUGACGCUUAAGCUCGAAAGCGCGGGUAUCGAACAGGAUGCCCGCUGUUUGCGUCUAACGUAAGCGGCCAAGUGAAAACGUUAAGCAUCCCACCUGGGGAGUACGCCGGCAACGGUGAAACUCAAAGGAAUUGACGGGGGCCCGCACAAGCGGAGGAACAUGUGGUUUAAUUCGAUGAUACGCGAGGAACCUUACCCGGGCUUGAAUUGCUGAGGAAAGAUCCAGAGAUGGUGAUGCCCUUCGGGGCCUCAGUGAAGGUGCUGCAUGGUUGUCGUCAGCUCGUGCCGUGAGGUGUCGGCUUAAGUGCCAUAACGAGCGCAACCCCUCUCUUCAGUUGCCAUCAGGCUAUGCUGGGCACUCUGGAGACACUGCCACCGCAAGGUGUGAGGAAGGUGGGGAUGACGUCAAAUCAGCACGGCCCUUACGUCCGGGGCUACACACGUGUUACAAUGGGGGGCACAGAGAGCCGGGUGCGCGCAAGCUUGCCCAAAUCCUUAAAUCCCCCCACAGUUCGGACUGGGGUCUGCAACCCGACCCCACGAAGCUGGAUUCGCUAGUAAUCGCGCAUCAGCCAUGGCGCGGUGAAUACGUUCCCGGGCCUUGUACACACCGCCCGUCAAGCCAUGAAAGCCGGGGGUGCCUGAAGUCCGUGACCGCAAGGGACGGCCUAGGGCAAAACUGGUAAUUGGGGCUAAGUCGUAACAAGGUAGCC
rnacentral:rRNA from 1 species